GACGAGCUCUCCAAACGUUAUUCGGUAUCACUGGGCUUAAAGAGUUCGUAGGCGGCUUUGUAGGUGGGGUGUGAAAGCCCUCGGCUCAACCGAGGAAUUGCGCCCCAAACCGCAGGGCUUGAGGGAUAUAGGGGUAAGCGGAACAGAUGGUGGAGCGGUGAAAUGCAUUGAUAUCAUCUGGAACACCGGUGGCGAAAGCGGCUUACUGGAUAUUUUCUGACGCUGAGGAACGAAAGCUAGGGUAGCGAACGGG
rnacentral:rRNA from 1 species